rnacentral:ncRNA from 1 species
AAACCUCACCUGGCCCGGACUUGGACAGGAUUGACAGACUGAUAGCUCUUUCUUGAAUCCAUGGAAGGUGGUGCAUGGCCGUUCUUAGUUGGUGAAACCAUUUGCCUGGUUAUACUGCUAGUGGGACUAUAAAAUGUUGCAGGUACUUUGGAAAAUAGUUUGGUGGUUUCUCACAAAAGCCAAACAUAGAAUCUCCAUGUUGUUGUUGUUAGGUGCAGUCGAGGCAGUUCCGACACAUAGCAACCCUAUGCACAACAGAACGAAACACUGCCCAGU